rnacentral:rRNA from 1 species
CCUACGGGGGGCAGCAGUGAGGAAUAUUGGUCAAUGGACGAGAGUCUGAACCAGCCAAGUAGCGUGAAGGAUGACUGCCCUAUGGGUUGUAAACUUCUUUUAUAUGGGAAUAAAAUGUUCCACGUGUGGGAUUUUGUAUGUACCAUAUGAAUAAGGAUCGGCUAACUCCGUGCCAGCAGCCGCGGUAAUACGGAGGAUCCGAGCGUUAUCCGGAUUUAUUGGGUUUAAAGGGAGCGUAGGUGGAUUGUUAAGUCAGUUGUGAAAGUUUGCGGCUCAACCGUAAAAUUGCAGUUGAAACUGGCAGUCUUGAGUACAGUAGAGGUGGGCGGAAUUCGUGGUGUAGCGGUGAAAUGCGUAGAUAUCACGAAGAACUCCGAUUGCGAAGGCAGUUCACUGGACUGCAACUGACACUGAGGCUCGAAAGUGUGGGUAUCAAACAGGAUUAGAUACCCCAGUAGUC